AUUGAACGCUGGCGGCAGGCCUAACACAUGCAAGUCGAACGAGUGGCCGACGGGUGAGUAAUGUCUGGGAAACUGCCUGAUGGAGGGGGAUAACUCCUGGAAACGGUAGCUAAUACCGCUUACCAUCAAGUGUGCCAAGGUGGGAUUAGCGAGUUGGUGGGGAAACGGCUCACCAAGGCGACGAUCCCUAGCUGGUCUGAGAGGAUGACCGGCCACACUGGAACUGAGACACGGUCCAGACUCCUACUGGAGGCAGCAGUGGGGAAUAUUGCACAAUGGGCGCAAGCCUGAUGCAGCCAUGCCGCGUGUAUGAAGAAGGCCUUCGGGUUGUAAAAUACUUUCAGCGGGGAGGCGUUACCCGCAGAAGAAGCACCGGCUAACUCCGUGCCAGCCGCCGCGGUAAUAC
rnacentral:rRNA from 1 species